UCACUGCGCGAGCCAAGGGCCGGGCUUAGUCCCCGCCCCACGUUUGGUUCGUGGUACGCUCCAGGUCUGAGGCGGGCGGCCGGGCGCUGUGUUCGUUAUGUGCGCGCGGUGUUUUUGGUUGCUUUGGCCUUCUUGCUGCUCUCCGGUCCUUCCGCCAGCCUCGAGCCCUCACCACUCUCGGUAUCUGUGAUUGUCUUCAGGGAAAGAUUUCUACAAGUGAGAUUGCUAGAGUAAACGCUGCACUGCACGGCAUAUGGGAUCUUAGUUCCCU